UUAAAAUGAUAUGUUAACCAUCUAUUAUUUAUUUAUACAAUAUAUUUUUGUUAUCUGUGUUAAAGAAAAUGUAAGUUGUGUUUUGUUGGAAUGGGAGAAGUUUGGUACGCUUCUUUGUGGUGUUUUGUUUCACCCACUACCUGUGAACAUGGUCGGCCUGGCGGGUUGUCUAAGCCGGCCCACCAAUGUACUGUGGGUUGUUGUGUUGGGUGGUCCUCUGUGCUACAGGUUAGUUGUGUUUAUUUAUAUACCUUGUGCUGUGAAUUAGUAUACUGUGGUGAAGAUUACAAGCAAAGGAUGUGUUUAGUAGCUAAGGUAAUACAAGUGAUAUUAUUGUUUGCCAGACGGAGAAUGUAGGGACGCCCUGGACCUCAUGUCGGUUGGUGUGUUGGUUGGUCCUCCGUGCUACAGACAGAGUUGUGAGGACGCCCUGGACUGGAUGAUAGUUGGGGUGACAUGUCAGGUGUGCUACGGGGAUUCGAAGAGCGUCAGUGUGGGCCACUGAAGUCGAAACACUUCAAGCAAUAAACACCUGUUACGAUUUGUGGUUUAUUACACAUUUGGAAUCCCCAACA